GCUGUAUUGAGGCCAUUUAUCUGAUAGAUUCUGUAUACUGCUCAUUGAUUUAUUGUUAUUCUGGGUUACUUUAUACUGUUUUCUCACUCUGCUGUAUGGGGAAUGGGUGCCCCUGCUAUGAUGCUUUGGCUCUGCCUGUAAUCUGUUCCCCCUCCCCGGGUUCCCCUGCUGGGCUCUGUCGCCCAUACCCUUCUCCCUUAUUCCCCACCUGCUCCCCGUGGCCCCUGGCCGCUUGCAGUGCCGCACGAUCACCACGCGGUAGGCCGCGCUCUGUUUUUGCAGCCACGGCAGCCAUUUUGUUGGAGCCGUGGCGGCCAUUUUUCAGAGCCACAUGGGCUCUGUGCGUUGCGAACAGCCAGGUCUCACCCAAGAACUGGCCUGCUGGCCAUGUGGCCACCCUCCUCUCUCCCUAUAUCAAGGAAGAUAGCCCAGUUUUUCAGCUAUCCCUCUACUUACUGUGCCUGUCUCACAUGCUGCAUAUGUAACAGAUCCUGGAUAGCAGAAUCUGUCCCAGGCAUGCUCACAACUGCAGCUUACUAUGUCUGAUGCAAUGUGACUAGGUUCUCUAUCUUAGCAGUAGACUUGUCACACUUUUUUUUACUAUUACAUGUGAAUCUCAGAUUUAAAGGGAC